UUAUAAGAGGUCAUAAGAAGAGCUAUGAACAGUGGGAGGUUUACAGGGAUCUAGAGACACGUCACAAAGGGAGAAAGGUGACCAAGGCAGACGACUGGAACGGCGUGGACUAGAGGUUCAUUAUGGGGUUCUACUUCCAGUCUGCUACACUAAUGACGUGGACUAGAGGUUCAUUAUGGGGUUCUACUUCCAGUCUGCUACACUAAUGGCGUGGACUAGAGGUUCAUUAUGGGGUUCUACUGCCAGUCUACUACACUAAACACAAAUGACGUGGACUAGAGGUUCAUUAUGGGAUUCUACUGCCAGUCUACUACACUAAACACUCAUGACGUGGACUAGAGGUUCAUUAUGGGGUUCUACUGCCAGUCUACUACACUAAUGGCGUGGACUAGAGGUUCAUUAUGGGGUUCUACUGCCAGUCUACUACACUAAUGACGUGGACUAGAGGUUCAUUAUGGGGUUCUACUGCCAGUCUACUACACUAAUGACGUGGACUAGAGGUUCAUUAUGGGGUUCUACUGCCAGUCUACUACACUAAACACUAAUGACGUGGACUAGAGGUUCAUUAUGGGGUUCUACUGCCAGUCUACUACACUAAUGACGUGGACUAGAGGUUCAUUAUGGGGUUCUACUGCCAGUCUACUACACUAAACACUAAUGACGUGGACUAGAGGUUCAUUAUGGGGUUCUACUGCCAGUCUACUACACUAAACACUAAUGACGUGGACUAGAGGUUCAUUAUGGGGUUCUACUGCCAGUCUACUACACUAAUGACGUGGACUAGAGGUUCAUUAUGGGGUUCUACUGCCAGUCUACUACACUAAACACUAAUGACGUGGACUAGAGGUUCAUUAUGGGGUUCUACUGCCAGUCUACUACACUAAUGACGUCAAAUACUCACAGUGACAUUUCAUCUACAGACAGAAGUCAAAUGGAAAUAAUGACAUUUAAAUUUAAAUGAAGCUAUUAGUUUCUACAUAUCACAUAACUAUGGAGAAAUCAAAUCAAACACAU